rnacentral:tRNA from 1 species
GGGGAUACAGCUCAGCUGGUAGAGUGCUUGCCUCACAUGCACAAGGUCCUGGGUUCAAUUCCCAGCACCACCA